CACGUAGUUAGCCGUGGCUUCCUCCUCGGCUACCGUCUCGUUUCGUCACCGAAGACAGAGGUUUACAAUCCGAAAACCUUCUUCCCUCACGCGGCGUCGCUGCAUCAGAGUUCCCUCCAUUGUGCAAUAUCCCCACUGCUGCCUCCCGUAGGAGUCUGGGCCGUGUCUCAGUCCCAAUGUGGCCGUUCAACCUCUCAGUCCGGCUACCGAUCGUCGACUUGGUGGGCCGUUACCCCGCCAACUAUCUAAUCGGACGCGAGCCCAUCCUAUAGCGGAUUGCUCCUUUGGCGCCAAAGGGAUGUCCCCCAGCGCGUUAUGCGGUAUUAGCGUUCGUUUCCAAACGUUAUCCCCCUCUAUAGGGCAGGUUGCUCACGUGUUACUCACCCGUCCGCCACUAAGUUCAGGGGCACGGCCCCCUUCCUUCGUUCGACUUGCAUGUGUUAGGCGCGCCGCCAGCGUUCGUCCUGUAGCCAGGAUCAAACGUCU
rnacentral:rRNA from 1 species